GACGAACGCUGGCGGCGUGCUUAACACAUGCAAGUCGAACGGAAAGGCCCUGCUUUUGUGGGGUGCUCGAGUGGCGAACGGGUGAGUAACACGUGAGUAACCUGCCCUUGACUUUGGGAUAACUUCAGGAAACUGGGGCUAAUACCGGAUAGGAGCUCCUGCUGCAUGGUGGGGGUUGGAAAGUUUCGGCGGUUGGGGAUGGACUCGCGGCUUAUCAGCUUGUGGGUGGGGUAGUGGCUUACCAAGGCUUUGACGGGUAGCCGGCCUGAGAGGGUGACCGGCCACAUUGGGACUGAGAUACGGCCCAGACUCCUCCGGGAGGCAGCAGUGGGGAAUAUUGCACAAUGGGCGGAAGCCUGAUGCAGCAACGCCGCGUGCGGGAUGACGGCCUUCGGGUUGUAACCCGCUUUCGCCUGUGACGAAGCGUGAGUGACGGUAAUGGGUAAAGAAGCACCGGCUAACUACGUG
rnacentral:rRNA from 1 species